rnacentral:rRNA from 1 species
UACGUAGGCAGCAAGCGUUGUUCGGAAUUACUGGGCGUAAAGAGUGUGUAGGCGGCCAGAUUAGUCCGGUGUGAAAGUCAGAGGCUCAACCUUUGAAUGCCGCUGGAAACUGUCUGGCUUGAGUCCGGAAGGGGCGAGUGGAAUUCCUGGUGUAGCGGUGAAAUGCGCAGAUAUCAGGAGGAACACCAAUGGCGAAGGCAGCUCGCUGGAACGGUACUGACGCUGAGGCGCGAAAGCGUGGGGAGCAAACAGG